AUUGAACGCUGGCGGCAUGCCUUACACAUGCAAGUCGAACGGUAACGGGCCUUCGGGUGCCGACGAGUGGCGAACGGGUGAGUAAUGUAUCGGAACGUACCUUUCAGUGGGGGAUAACGUAGCGAAAGUUACGCUAAUACCGCAUAUUCUGUGAGCAGGAAAGCAGGGGAUCGCAAGACCUUGCGCUGAUUGAGCGGCCGAUAUCAGAUUAGCUAGUUGGUGAGGUAAAGGCUCACCAAGGCGACGAUCUGUAGCAGGUCUGAGAGGAUGAUCCGCCACACUGGAACUGAGACACGGUCCAGACUCCUACGGGAGGCAGCAGUGGGGAAUUUUGGACAAUGGGGGCAACCCUGAUCCAGCCAUGCCGCGUGAGUGAAGAAGGCCUUCGGGUUGUAAAGCUCUUUCGGCCGGGAAGAAAUCGUAUCAGCUAAUACCUGGUGCGGAUGACGGUACCGGCAUAAGAAGCACCGGCUAACUACGUGCCAGCCGCCGCAGUAAGAC
rnacentral:rRNA from 1 species